rnacentral:lncRNA from 1 species
GUGAGUUCGGGCGAAAAGCAGGUGAGUUCGGCAAAAAGCAGGUGAGCUCGACGACAAGCUCACCUGCUCUAAACCAAUCAGAAAGCCGCUUUUAACACAGGUAUGGGAUAAGAUACCAAAACCUUUGUUACUUUUUGCUUAUAUGAUAAAAAGCAUUCAAGAAAUUUGUAUUUGCGCACAUGAAGAAGUCUGCGUUCUAUAACGCACUCUAACAACGCGUAAGUUCACUUAGGUAGGCGAAAUACGGUUUGGUGAGAAAAUAUCUGCAAAAAACUAUAUUCUCAAAAUAUAUUUAAUAAAGAUUAGAUGUCCAGAGAUUCAUUUAAAUUUAUCCCAGAACGGUUAUGGCCAGACCUUGAACGAAAGAAACGAAAGAUCAUUGUUGAGAAACAUUAUAUCACCUGAAUGCCGUUUGGUACUAUACGUCUUUACCGAUAGAGACGAGGGGAUUAACCGUACACUUUGGCCGAAAUAACUGAGUUAAUUUGAAGAAAGCGUACCCUUUGGCCGAAAUGACUGAGUUAAUUUAAAGAAAGCGUACAUUUGGGCAGAAAUGACUGGGUUAAUUUGAAGAAAUUACUGCAUUAGAGCAGUGGUGCGUGAUGUUUGUGAAUCUUUAAUCCAAAGAUUGUGCGGUGGAUCAGUGGAAAUCAAAAGAACAAUUUGAGAAGAUACUCGAUACUGCAUGAACAACAAUGGCAAUUCCCUUGUUGUUGGGGAACAGUUGACAGGUGUCAUCUAUCAAUUAAUUGUCGCACGGCUAUAAAGUUUAUCGUUUUUACAUCAAAUGUUAGGCUAUUGAAAGCCACAUAACAUAAAACUAUACAUUCCAGAUUUUGAAAAUCAAUGAUUCUUUGGUUUAAAAAUUAUCUCUUUUAUUAUUUUCCCAUAUUAUUCUCACGUUACCAUGGCAAUUAUUUAUGGCAAGGUAUUAUUUCAAACAUGAAAUACUUUAUGUAGAAUUUCUACACUUCAUCUGUUAAGGCGAGGGGUUGCUGAAUGCAUGAAUUUCUGGAAAUACAUGCAUGCAGUAACCGGCCUUUCUUAUUAACAAUUAACAGAUGAAGGAUAGAACUUCCACAUGAAGUAUUUGAUGAUUAAAAAGAAGCAAAUAUAUUGGCAUGUGUUAUUCUUCAUAAUACAUCUAUUCCAAGAGGCGAAACCUCAUCUCCACCUUGCAGUUGAUCAUGCAACAUUUCAAUAACGUGAUAGUGGCAAAAUAAGGGAGUUGCUACAAAUUAGAACAUGCUCAAGGGUUAAAGAAUAUACAUCUACGAAACGUACAUCAAUUCGAAAUGAUAUUGCAAAAUUCUUGUAUAAAGGAAGCAUGCAGUGAGAAUAUAAAAACAAUUACUUUUUUUCAUAUUUGUGAUUAAAUUUUGUGAACGUACAAUCUGACACUUGAUAUAACUUUGCGGUUCAGAUGUUCGGCAAAACAAACUAGUGGGUGUAUAUAGUAGGUGUGGCUGGUUUGCAUGUCCAGGAUGGGUGUUAGUUGACCAUGAAUGAGCUAAUUGACUUGCACGGUGUCCUCUAAAUAUUUGCUGAAGUAUAGCUAACAUCAUUGGUUGAAGUUGCCUAUCUUGUUCCCUCGCCGGUUUCAUGUUCUCCCUCAUUAAACUUAAAAUGGCUUUUGUUGGAUCGUUUUCAAUUACUCGGAUUUCAAUUACAAGGAUUGUAUACUUUCCAAUAAUAAUUCUGUUGUAUUCUCUUUCUUCUUCGGAGCCCCACUUUUAAUUGGAACAAAUUAUUCUCCCGUACCGGAUGUAUUCUCGCUUUCGCUAGGCUUAGUGGCUUGGUCAGGUAGACAAGAAUCUCAAACCUCAAACCAUUUUCCAAAACCCUUCGCAUCCUGUGACGGAAGGUCACACAGAUUUUCUUUCAUGAUGAAAGGAAAAGUUGAAGGUGGGUUGUGUUCAAGAUACCCUUGAAUCAAAAUAUUAUCGCACACUUUUGAUAUUGGUAAAUAUAUAUAAGCUUCUUUUCAUACUUCUCAUUGUUUACUACAAUGUUAAUCAUGUCGUCGAUAUGUGAUUCCUUCCAGGUGCCUUUCCUAUCCUUUGCUUUCCUUGCUCCUUUGCGCUUGGGUCUUUCAAGGCCUUGGUCUGAUUCAUCAGAACAACUAUCAAUCUGAUCAGCCAAUCACGUUCAACCAGCUCCUGAUUGAUUGGCUGAGCGAUUGGAAAUGAUCGAUCAUCACAAACAUCGAAAUUUCUCGGUAAAAACAUUGAACUUUGUGACGAGAAUAGACAAUGUUUCAUCUGCGACCGUUCAUUCUUAGACCUUAGUUGCAAGCGACGGUACUUGUCCAUUUCAACAUAUUCUUUCACUAGUCGGCUCAGCCUCAUUAUACCCAUCUCCACCUUGUUUACAAUACGCAACACUUCUUUGAGCAAUUUAGCAAACACUCUCUUCAUUUUGUUUCAGGAAAAAACUGCACUCUUUGCGGUUGUAUGCUGGCGUCUCACAGCUAAUACAAAUGUAUGUUUUUCUCAUCCAAUAUUUCUUAGUUCCAAAUUUUGAUUCGAUUAUAGGGGGGAUAUUGGGGGGGGGGGGUGGUUAACCCCCCAACUUUUUUAGAAUUAACAUAUUCGGAAAAUCAGUUUGGCCAUUCGGAAAAUUACGGCAAUAAUAGUAUAACAAAAUUUUAGUUGUUAAACAGAGAAAAUAUAAUAUAUAUUGGAGAAGUUGCAGGAAAGUAUGGGUAAUCAUGAGAUUCUUUGCAGUUUGUCAUGGAUAAUGUAGCCGCUUAAAAUUAAUCAAUUGUCAGUAUUUUAAAGGUAUAUUAUUUAAAUGAUA